rnacentral:misc_RNA from 1 species
GAACGCACCUUGCGCUCCCUGGUAUUCCGAGGAGCAUGCCCGUUUGAGUGUCAUGAAAACCUUCAACCCCCCUCGUCGCAUCUGUCGAGGAGGGAGGUUGGACUUGGGUGCUGCUGCCGCUCUCUCUGCGGCUCACCUCAAAUGCAUUAGUCGACUCUUGCCGGCCUCACCUUUGACGUGAUAGACAUCGUCGUCGAGGUUCAGGUUGGCCCACCUGGAGCGGCUCACAACUGUCUUUGGACAUCGAAAGAUACACAUAUGACCCCUUUGACCUCAAAUCGGGUAGGACUACCCGCUGAACUUAAG